rnacentral:rRNA from 1 species
AGGAAGCACCGGCUAACUCCGUGCCAGCAGCCGCGGUAAUACGGGGGGUGCAAGCGUUGUUCGGAAUUAUUGGGCGUAAAGAGCGUGUAGGCGGCUGGACAAGUCAGAUGUGAAAGCCCUGGGCUUAACCCAGGAAGUGCAUUUGAAACUGUCCGGCUAGAGUAGGGGAGAGGAAAGUGGAAUUCCUGGUGUAGAGGUGAAAUUCGUAGAUAUCAGGAGGAACACCGGUGGCGAAGGCGACUUUCUGGCCCUAUACUGACGCUGAGACGCGAGAGCGUGGGUAGCAAACAGGAUUAGAUACCCUGGUAGUCCACGCUGUAAACGAUGUUCACUAGGUGUUGGGGGUAUUGACCCUCUCAGUGCCGCAGCUAACGCA